UACGGGGGGGGCAAGCGUUGUUCGGAAUUACUGGGCGUAAAGGGCUCGUAGGCGGCCAACUAAGUCAUACGUGAAAUCCCUCGGCUUAACCGGGGAACUGCGUCUGAUACUGGAUGGCUUGAGUUCGGGAGAGGGAUGCGGAAUUCCAGGUGUAGCGGUGAAAUGCGUAGAUAUCAGGAGGAACACCGGUGGCGAAGGCGGGUCUCUGGGCAGUAACUGACGCUGAGGAGCGAAAGCGUGGGGAGCGAACAGG
rnacentral:rRNA from 1 species